rnacentral:tRNA from 1 species
GCGGGCGUAGCUCAGUCCGGUUCAAAGCGCUGCCCUGUCACGGCAGAGAUCGUGGGUUCAAAUCCCAUCGCCCGCG